rnacentral:rRNA from 1 species
GGGCGGCUAAACAUGCAAGUCGAGCGGACAGAUGGGAGCUUGCUCCCUGAUGUUAGCGGCGGACGGGUGAGUAACACGUGGGUAACCUGCCUGUAAGACUGGGAUAACUCCGGGAAACCGGGGCUAAUACCGGAUGGUUGUUUGAACCGCAUGGUUCAGACAUAAAAGGUGGCUUCGGCUACCACUUACAGAUGGACCCGCGGCGCAUUAGCUAGUUGGUGAGGUAACGGCUCACCAAGGCAACGAUGCGUAGCCGACCUGAGAGGGUGAUCGGCCACACUGGGACUGAGACACGGCCCAGACUCCUACGGGAGGCAGCAGUAGGGAAUCUUCCGCAAUGGACGAAAGUCUGACGGAGCAACGCCGCGUGAGUGAUGAAGGUUUUCGGAUCGUAAAGCUCUGUUGUUAGGGAAGAACAAGUGCCGUUCAAAUAGGGCGGCACCUUGACGGUACCUAACCAGAAAGCCACGGCUAACUACGUGCCAGCAGCCGCGGUAAUACGUAGGUGGCAAGCGUUGUCCGGAAUUAUUGGGCGUAAAGGGCUCGCAGGCGGUUUCUUAAGUCUGAUGUGAAUGCCCCCGGCUCAACCGGGGAGGGUCAUUGGAAACUGGGGAACUUGAGUGCAGAACAGGACACCGGAAUUCCAUUCUUUUCGGUGCUUUGCACACAGAUGGGAAC